GACGUAGGGCGCGAGCGUUGUCCGGAUUUAUUGGGCGUAAAGAGCGUGUAGGCGGCCAGGUAGGUCUGCUGUGAAAACUCGAGGCUUAACCUCGAGAUGUCGGCGGAAACCAUCUGGCUAGAGUCCGGAAGAGGAGAGUGGAAUUCCUGGUGUAGCGGUGAAAUGCGCAGAUAUCAGGAAGAACACCCGUGGCGAAGGCGGCUCUCUGGGACGGUACUGACGCUGAGACGCGAAAGCGUGGGGAGCGAACAGG
rnacentral:rRNA from 1 species